rnacentral:rRNA from 1 species
UGCUGUAGCCAUAUCACCCUGCACCCCAAGACUGGUUGCCCACUGAAGCUAAGCAGGGUUGAGCCUGGUAAGUACCUGGAUGGGAGACCUUCUGGGAAAACUAGGUUGCUGCUGGAA